UACGGGGGGGGCAAGCGUUGUUCGGAAUUACUGGGCGUAAAGGGUUCGUAGGUGGCCAACUUAGUCAGACGUGAAAUCCCUCAGCUUAACUGGGGAACUGCGUCUGAUACUGGAUGGCUCGAGUGCAGGAGAGGAACGCGGAAUUCCAGGUGUAGCGGUGAAAUGCGUAGAUAUCUGGAGGAACACCGGUGGCGAAGGCGACAUCCUGGACCGGUAUUGACGCUGAGGCGCGAAAGCCAGGGGAGCAAACGGG
rnacentral:rRNA from 1 species